rnacentral:lncRNA from 1 species
CUACUGAGCCGGCCGCAGAAAUUGCAGCCGCUCAGCUUCUACCCCCUCCUGCCUUUCCUUCCUCUUUCCUUACUUCCUUCCCUUCCCUCGGCUUCCCGCUCUUGCCUCACUCUCAGCGGCUGCCUUCGCCCCUGUCUGCAGACAGCGCCGCUGGAUGCUCCCAGCUGGACUUCAACCCCACUCCUCUCAGUCCCUCUCCCCACUGCCUUCCAGACGCGCCUCUUCCCCGCCCCGCGCCCCUCUCUCCUCUCCCACCCCUGCCCCUCUCCGCGGCGCUCACCCUCCUCAGUCCCAGUUUCUGAAAGGACUCAGCUGAGAAAGGACAACUGGGUUCCGCUUUCCUUAACCCUACACCCUUUAGCUGGAUGCUGUCAGAGGCGAUGGAGAAACGCAAAGGCUACUAGACGCAACAAUAGAAUUACCAUAUUGUUUUUCCUGGUUUGAAAGGACCAGAUGGAAAGAAACUGGGCAAGCCAAUGAAAGUCUCUGGGGAUCAUGGGAAUUGAGUGUCUAUGAAAACCAUAUUCCAGACAAGAAUAUAGUCUAAGGUUUAUGGGACUCCCCAGUACUCUCCAUGUAGAGUCUAAUGUAGAAUCCAGGAGUGCACAGAAAAGUCACUGGAUGACACAGCAAGAGGCAACAUUUUGGAAGCAGAGGGCAACUCUCACUGGAAACCAAAUCUCCUGGCACCUUGAUCUUGGAUUUUACAGCCUCCAGAACUUUCUCACACUUCCUUUUGAAAGCUAUUAAAAAUCUAUGGCAGAAAAAUGGUCAAGGAAUAGGAACUACAACUUCAUAAAUGAGGAACCAGAAAAGGAUAGCUGGGAGGCAUUACAUAGUCAUGUGCGAGGUCAAAACUGAGUCACCACCACAACCAAGUUCCAGCUGGCAAGAAGAGGAAAAAUAACACAGAGGAGUUAUGACCAGUGUUGUAAGGAUCUGGCCUAGAAAUGGCAUGCAUCUCUUCCACUAAUAUCCUAUUGGUAAAAAUGUAGUCACAUGGGCACACCACCUAUCUGCAUGGAAGGCUGGGAAAUGUUGAUCGGUAGGGCAGCCAUAUGUGUAGGAAGGAGAAAACAGAAUUUGGUGGAUACCUAGUAGUCUCUGCCAUACCCUUGACCAGAAAUUUUUCUUCUAAAGAAUUUAAUUCUAAAAGUUAUAGACAUUCCCAAAGAUAUACCUGCAAGCAUCACAGCUUUGUGUAUAAUUGCAAAAGUUGAAAUCAACAUGAAUGCCCAAAAUAGUGAAUUAUUUAAACAGAUUAUUACCCAUAUUAUGAAGAAAUACUCUGCAACUCUUAAAAAUAAAUGUAAUGUGCCAGGCGCAAUGGGAUAUGCCUGCAGGCCCAGCUACACGGGAGGCCAAGGCAGGAGGAUCACUUGAAAUCAAGAGUUCAAGUCUAGCCUAGACAACAUAGUGAGACUUGGUCUCUAAAAAAGAAAAAAAAAAAUAAAACUGAUGUAAUGAAUAUAUAAUUACAACAAAAGAGGUCUAACACUAUAGUAGAAAAGUUUGGGGCACUCAUCCCAUUCAUAAUUAUUUUACAUUUAAAUUACUGUUCCUACUUAAGUGGUGAGCUUGGUAACCAUUUUCAUAUCAGGUGAUACUGCUGCAGUAAUCAUAGCUGUUUGAAUCAGGAAUAAUCCCAAUCACAUUUUCUCUUAAUCGUUUAUUAUACUGGGCAUUGGGGUUGCAAGAUAAUGCACAGUCCGAGCUCAAUACAUGUCUUCAUGUACCUGUAUGUAAAUCCCACUUUUAUUCUAAAAUUCUUUGAAUAUUUUGUUUCUUGGAACCCAAUGAUCCUAAGAAAAUUAUGUACUUUUACCUGAAAAUUAAAACCAAUAUUUAUAAAAAGUGUAUAUGCAGUAUGAUACCACUUUUAAAAAAAGAUAAAUUUAUAGAAAAAAGUUUAUAUGACUGACAACAAUGUCUCUGAGUGGUAGGAUUACAGUUAAUUUUUAUUUUCUUCAUUCUACUUAUCUUUAUUUUCUGAACUUUCUACAAUGAACAUGUUUUAUUUUUACUUUUGUUAAAAUAAAUAACAUUUAAUUUGACGGAAAAUUCUAAAAAUCAACAUUUGGUAACUUAAAUAUUCAUUGGCACAUGAUUCUGUGCCUGUUUCUGGGGGUCAUUCCCAUGAGAAGAGCAGGUAGAACUUAUGAGAAUAGAGCAGUCGAAAUAUUAUAGGUUUCAUAUUUUACGGCUUUAUUGAAAACAUUGAUAUAUUGAAUAUUCAUAAAUUUUAAUUUAACUUUCUUUUAUAAUCCUUAAUGUGAGGCUAAGGUAUAAGGAGAAAGGAGAUUGGUAAGGAAGUGUGAUACAUAUUGAAUCAGGUGUCAAGGUACCAUUUGUGCCUGGAUCUGACCAAUAGACCAAGGUAAAAAUCUCAAAGAAUGAGACUUGUAAUGAGAAUGCCACAAACUUGAAUACCUUAUGCACAAAACACAAACAUUGUUAUGCAUAAUGUACAUGAACCCUGAAACAAAGAUAAUGAUUUGGACCACCCAACUGAAGUGGCAUGUUAUGUUUUUGGCAUGAACAAAAGAAACAAGAGAGAAAAAAAUCAAAAUAAUUAAAAUAAAUUGUUAGAGAAAAGUUACUUUAAAAAUAGCUAUAACGCUUUGCAAUUUCAGUAACAGUUCUGCCUCUGAUGCAAUGUAAAACAUGUAUUAGACAUUCAGGCUCCACAAUAAAUUUUAAUGAGCACUACAAAUUUAGAAUAUAUAAAAAUAUCAGUAACCUAUGAAUUCAUCAACAUAACUCACUUUUCAGUUAAGUUAGGCUGAGUUGAAAUUCUACUAAGUUUUCCCAUAUUCUUGAUAAAGGCUAAAUUUGAAAUAAUUUAUUUAGAUGACUAAUUGGCAAUUUGAUAGUAGUUACAUUUUAUGUAACACUUGAUAUAAUAACCCAAAUUAAUUAGCUCAAUAUUAUCUUCUGUGGUUUAUUGAUCCAAAAGUACAUAUUUGUUAUGUAAACUUAUACUAUGUAAACUUGAAUUAGUUUUUUGCUUCCUUGAAUUAAUAAAGCCCAUUAAUGCAAAUCUAAGCCUUCAUAGACUUUUCCAAUCCUUAGUUAAAUAUUAAAAACUGAGUAUUGUAGUUAUUUGCUAGGUAUAAAAGGUGACUCAGAGUAGAGAGUAAGAUGUCAGCAAAUAGACAAUAAGAUGUCAGCAAAAGUGCCUCAAAUUUUAACUGCGUCAAGUUAAGGGCAUUGUAAAUACUGUAGUUUUAUGUAGCUUGCAACUUCUACUGAAAUGAGUUUAAUCAUGUCUUUCACAUAGCUGAAGUUUGUGUCAAGAUUUAAGCUGAUUUUCUCAUUCUUAUCAAAGUCUCACCUGGGGGUAGGGAGGGGUAGGCCUACCUCCCACCUCUAUACUAUCAUUUUAGGAACAGACAGGCAUAAAUCUGUUCAUAUGGUAGAACACAUGAUGUUAGAGUAUAUUUUGUUGAAUGCUAUGGAAUAUUAAUAUAAUUAAUUCUAAAAUAUCACCUAAAAUAUGUCAACUGAAGAUCUGACUGUACUAAAUAUGAAAAAUAAAGCAGCACAUACUUUCAAAAAAAAAAAAAA